rnacentral:misc_RNA from 1 species
GUUCCGUAGGUGAACCUGCGGAAGGAUCAUUACUGAGUGAGGGCCCCUCGGGGUCCAACCUCCCACCCGUGUUUAACGAACCUUGUUGCUUCGCCGGGCCCGCCGCACGGCCGCCGGGGGGCAUCUGCCCCCGGGCCCGGGCCCGCCGAAGCCACCUGGGAACGCUGUCUGAAGUAUGCAGUCUGAGACAAUUAUUAAAUUAAUUAAAACUUUCAACAACGGAUCUCUUGGUUCCG